AUUGAACGCUGGCGGCAGGCUUAAUACAUGCAAGUCGAACGGACUACUUCGGUAGUUAGUGGCGAACGGGUGAGUAAUGCCUAGGAAUCUGCCAUUUAGUGGGGGAUAACGUUCCGAAAGGAACGCUAAUACCGCAUACGUCCUACGGGAGAAAGAGGGGGAUCUUCGGACCUCUUGCUAAAUGAUGAGCCUAGGUCAGAUUAGCUAGUUGGUGGGGCAAAGGCUCACCAAGGCGACGAUCUGUAGCGGGUCUGAGAGGAUGAUCCGCCACACUGGAACUGAGACACGGUCCAGACUCCUACGGGAGGCCGCAGUGGGGAAUAUUGGACAAUGGGCGCAGGCCAGAUCCAGCCAUGCCGCGUGUGUGAAGAAGGCCUUUUGGUUGUAAAGCACUUUAAGCGAGGAGGAGGGUACUCUAGCUAAUAUCUAGAUGUACUGGACGUUACUCGCAGAAUAAGCACCGGCUAACUCUGUGCCAGCCGCCGCCGUAA
rnacentral:rRNA from 1 species